UAGGGAAUCUUGCGCUAAUGCGCGAAAGCGUGACGCAGCGACGCCGCGUGCGGGAUGAAGGCCCUCGGGUCGUAAACCGCUUUCGGCAGGGACGAAGCGAAAGUGACGGUACCUGCAGAAGAAGUCCCGGCUAACUACGUGCCAGCAGCCGCGGUAACACGUAGGGGACGAGCGUUGUCCGGAUUUAUUGGGCGUAAAGCGCGCGUAGGCGGCUCGGAAAGUCGGUCGUGAAAUCCUGGGGCUCAACCCCGGAACUGCGUCCGAUACUUCCGAGCUGGAGGCAGGUAGGGGAGAUCGGAAUUCCUGGUGUAGCGGUGAAAUGCGCAGAUAUCAGGAGGAACACCGGUGGCGAAGGCGGAUCUCUGGGCCUUGCCUGACGCUGAGGCGCGAAAGCUAGGGGAGCGAACAG
rnacentral:rRNA from 1 species